GUGCUACUCCCUUUGUUUUAAAUUACUUGUCGCAGGUAUGGAUGUAUCUAGAUGUAUUUUAGUUCUAGAUACUUUCAUUUCUGCAACGAGCAAUUUGAAACGGAGGGAGUACAUG
rfam:Triticum urartu cultivar G1812 contig912743, whole genome shotgun sequence.